rnacentral:rRNA from 1 species
GGCUCAGAUUGAACGCUGGCGGCAGGCCUAACACAUGCAAGUCGAACGGUAACAGAAAGCAGCUUGCUGCUUUGCUGACGAGUGGCGGACGGGUGAGUAAUGUCUGGGAAACUGCCCGAUGGAGGGGGAUAACUACUGGAAACGGUAGCUAAUACCGCAUAACGUCGCAAGACCAAAGAGGGGGACCUUCGGGCCUCUUGCCAUCGGAUGUGCCCAGAUGGGAUUAGCUAGUAGGUGGGGUAACGGCUCACCUAGGCGACGAUCCCUAGCUGGUCUGAGAGGAUGACCAGCCACACUGGAACUGAGACACGGUCCAGACUCCUACGGGAGGCAGCAGUGGGGAAUAUUGCACAAUGGGCGCAAGCCUGAUGCAGCCAUGCCGCGUGUAUGAAGAAGGCCUUCGGGUUGUAAAGUACUUUCAGCGGGGAGGAAGGGAGUAAAGUUAAUACCUUUGCUCAUUGACGUUACCCGCAGAAGAAGCACCGGCUAACUCCGUGCCAGCAGCCGCGGUAAUACGGAGGGUGCAAGCGUUAAUCGGAAUUACUGGGCGUAAAGCGCACGCAGGCGGUUUGUUAAGUCAGAUGUGAAAUCCCCGGGCUCAACCUGGGAACUGCAUCUGAUACUGGCAAGCUUGAGUCUCGUAGAGGGGGGUAGAAUUCCAGGUGUAGCGGUGAAAUGCGUAGAGAUCUGGAGGAAUACCGGUGGCGAAGGCGGCCCCCUGGACGAAGACUGACGCUCAGGUGCGAAAGCGUGGGGAACAAACAGGAUUAGAUACCCUGGUAGUCCACGCCGUAAACGAUGUCGACUUGGAGGUUGUGCCCUUGAGGCGUGGCUUCCGGAGCUAACGCGUUAAGUCGACCGCCUGGGGAGUACGGCCGCAAGGUUAAAACUCAAAUGAAUUGACGGGGGCCCGCACAAGCGGUGGAGCAUGUGGUUUAAUUCGAUGCAACGCGAAGAACCUUACCUGGUCUUGACAUCCACGGAAGUUUUCAGAGAUGAGAAUGUGCCUUCGGGAACCGUGAGACAGGUGCUGCAUGGCUGUCGUCAGCUCGUGUUGUGAAAUGUUGGGUUAAGUCCCGCAACGAGCGCAACCCUUAUCCUUUGUUGCCAGCGGUCCGGCCGGGAACUCAAAGGAGACUGCCAGUGAUAAACUGGAGGAAGGUGGGGAUGACGUCAAGUCAUCAUGGCCCUUACGACCAGGGCUACACACGUGCUACAAUGGCGCAUACAAAGAGAAGCGACCUCGCGAGAGCAAGCGGACCUCAUAAAGUGCGUCGUAGUCCGGAUUGGAGUCUGCAACUCGACUCCAUGAAGUCGGAAUCGCUAGUAAUCGUGGAUCAGAAUGCCACGGUGAAUACGUUCCCGGGCCUUGUACACACCGCCCGUCACACCAUGGGAGUGGGUUGCAAAAGAAGUAGGUAGCUUAACCUUCGGGAGGGCGCUUACCACUUUGUGAUU